rnacentral:rRNA from 1 species
AGAGUUUGAUCCUGGCUCAGGAUGAACGCUAGCGGCAGGCUUAACACAUGCAAGUCGAGGGGUAACGAUGGCUUCGGCCAGGCGACGACCGGCGCACGGGUGCGUAACGCGUAUGCAACCUACCUUUAACUGGAGAAUAGCCCAAAGAAAUUCGGAUUAAUACUCCAUAAUAUCAUUUUAACUCAUGUUAUUUUGAUUAAAGUUCCGGCGGUUAAAGAUGGGCAUGCGUGACAUUAGAUAGUUGGUGAGGUAAUGGCUCACCAAGUCUACGAUGUCUAGGGGGUCUGAGAGGAUGAUCCCCCACACUGGUACUGAGACACGGACCAGACUCCUACGGGAGGCAGCAGUGAGGAAUAUUGGUCAAUGGGCGCAAGCCUGAACCAGCCAUGCCGCGUGCAGGAUGAAUGCCCUACGGGUUGUAAACUGCUUUUCUAUAGGAAGAAACUUUCGAACGUGUUCGGAACUGACGGUACUAUAGGAAUAAGCAUCGGCUAACUCCGUGCCAGCAGCCGCGGUAAUACGGAGGAUGCAAGCGUUAUCCGGAUUUAUUGGGUUUAAAGGGUGCGUAGGCGGAAUAAUAAGUCAGUGGUGAAAUCCUGCAGCUUAACUGUAGAACUGCCAUUGAUACUGUUAUUCUUGAGUAUAGUUGAGGUGGGCGGAAUGUGUAAUGUAGCGGUAAAAUGCUUAGAUAUUACACAGAACGCCAAUUGCGAAGGCAGCUCACUAAGCUAUUACUGACGCUGAGGCACGAAAGCGUGGGGAGCGAACAGGAUUAGGUACCCUGGUAGUCCACGCUGUAAACGAUGAUCACUCGUUGUUGGCGAUAUACUGUCAGCGACUGAGCUAAAGCAUUAAGUGAUCCACCUGGGGAGUACGCUCGCAAGAGUGAAACUCAAAGGAAUUGACGGGGGCCCGCACAAGCGGAGGAACAUGUGGUUUAAUUCGAUGAUACGCGAGGAACCUUACCUGGGCUUAAAUGCAGGACGACAGAUCGGGAAACUGAUCCUUCUUCGGACGGCUUGCAAGGUGCUGCAUGGUUGUCGUCAGCUCGUGCCGUGAGGUGUCGGGUUAAGUCCCAUAACGAGCGCAACCCCUAUUGUUAGUUACCAGCGGAUAAUGCCGGGGACUCUAACGAAACUGCCGGUGUAAACCGAGAGGAAGGUGGGGAUGACGUCAAAUCAGCACGGCCCUUAUGUCCAGGGCUACACACGUGUUACAAUGGCUAGUACAAAGGGCAGCUACCUGGUGACAGGAUGCUAAUCUCUAAAACUGGUCUUAGUUCGGAUCGAAGUCUGCAACUCGACUUCGUGAAGGUGGAUUCGCUAGUAAUCGCGCAUCAGCCAUGGCGCGGUGAAUACGUUCCCGGGCCUUGUACACACCGCU